CUACUUGGAUAACUGUCGUAAUUCUAGAGCUAAUACAUGCAAACCAGAGUCCCGACCAGAGAUGGAAGGGACGCUUUUAUUAGAUCAAAACCAAUCGGUGGUUUCGGCCAUCGUCUACUUUGGUGACUCUGAAUAACUUUGGGCUGAUCGCACGGCCUUCGUGCCGGCGACGCAUCUUUCAAAUGUCUGCCUUAUCAACUGUCGAUGGUAGGUUCUGCGCCUACCAUGGUUGUAACGGGUAACGGGGAAUCAGGGUUCGAUUCCGGAGAGGGAGCCUGAGAAACGGCUACCACAUCUAAGGAAGGCAGCAGGCGCGUAAAUUACCCACUCCCAGCACGGGGAGGUAGUGACGAAAAAUAACGAUACGGGACUC
rnacentral:rRNA from 1 species